UACGAAGGGGACUAGCGUUGUUCGGAUUUACUGGGCGUAAAGCGCGCGUAGGCGGAUCGCUAAGUCAGGGGUGAAAUCCCAGGGCUCAACCCUGGAACUGCCUUUGAUACUGACGAUCUGGAGAUCGGGAGAGGUUGGUGGAAUUCCGAGUGUAGAGGUGAAAUUCGUAGAUAUCGGGAGGAACACCUAUGGCGAAGGCAGCUCGCUGGGACGUUACUGACGCUGAGACGCGAAAGCGUGGGGAGCAAACAGG
rnacentral:rRNA from 1 species